CCUACGGGAGGCAGCAGUGAGGAAUAUUGGUCAAUGGGCGCGAGCCUGAACGAGCCAAGUAGCGUGAAGGAUGACUGCCCUACGGGUUGUAAACUUCUUUUAUAAAGGAAUAAAGUGAGGCAAGUGUGCCUUUUUGGAUGUACUUUAUGAAUAAGGAUCGGCUAACUCCGUGCCAGCAGCCGCGGUAAUACGGAGGAUCCGAGCGUUAUCCGGAUUUAUUGGGUUUAAAGGGAGCGUAGAUGGGUUGUUAAGUCAGUUGUGAAAGUUUGCGGCUCAACCGUAAAAUUGCAAUUGAUACUGGCAGUCUUGAGUACAGAUGAGGUAGGCGGAAUUCGUUGUGUAGCGGUGAAAUGCUUAGAUAUCACGAAGAACUCCGAUUGCGAAGGCAGCUUACUAAACUGCCACUGACAUUGAUGCUCGAAAGUGUGGGUAUCAAACAGGAUUAGAUACCCCAGUAGUC
rnacentral:rRNA from 1 species